GAAGGCCUGUAGUUCAGUGGGAGAGCAUUAGCCCUGCAUGCCUAAACUCACAGGUUCAAUCCCUGGUGUCUACCA